GGAACCCGGAUCGAGGCCGCGCGCGCCGCGGUCGCGGGGCUGGCGGAGGGGAAGCUGGGUACCCUCUUCUGUGCCUGCGGUUCUCUGACCCACCCACCUGCAGACGCAGGGUGGGGCGCUCACAGUGGGCACGCUGCUCUGGGGCCGGUGGGCGGAUGGUUGGAAGGCGAGGCCGAGGAGCUGGGAGCGCGGUCCACGCGGGGCGUCUCGAGGCGCCCUCGGGCUGAUGUCCUUGGCUCGCCUCCUCGCCCUCGGUCGCCCGGGCUGCGCUCUGCAUCCUAAUCUGGCUCCUUCAGAGCCCCCCUCAGAAACCAAGGGGAGGAAUUCCGCAGUUCACUUCCCACACAACCCAAAUCCUUCAUCUGUCGCCUCGGGAACACCGCAUCCUACACCCCCUGCCGCCAGCUCCUUCGCACGCCAGCCCCGAUUCUUCCCCAGCGGGUUCUGGGCCCUGACGAGGGAACCCCCCUCGCGGGGGGGAGGGAGAAGAGUUGAUUUUAUUAUUAAUAGCUGACGCAGCGCUUGAUAGGUGUCUGCAGGGCAGUCACAGUUCACGCCGCUGGAGCUGCCACACAGCAGCUAGACUUGGGCUAGGAGGUGCUUCGCUGUGGCUUUCAGAUGAAGGCCAUUUCAUAGACUCACUUCCCUCGACAGGAGAAAAGGGGACUUGAAUCCAAAGCUGCUCUUAAACCACAGAUGAUUUGCUCUGCUCGGGAGGACAAAGCGCAGGUCACAGCAAGAUAAAGGGAAUUUUGCCAAUAUAAAGAAGCUACAUUACUUAACAAGGGGAUGGGAAAUUGCAUGGAAUUCAUGAACAAAACAUGAACAUAUUCUCUUCACAAAGAAGAGCAGCUUUCUUCACGGAGUAGGUUGCAGAAUGAAGCAAUUAGUCCACUUUUGUGUUUAACAAUAACGCACCAUCCGCAUGAGCAAAAGCAGAGCAGAAAAAUCACCUCAGUUGUCUCAAGUGGCUGGGCUUCAGGACUUAAGAUAAAUUCCUUCAGCAGAUGCAAAUUACAGUGCAUCACCAGCUGAAAAAAUCAGGCACGUCAUGUCAUUUAAUUAUUUCCAAGGAGUGGACGUUGGCAUGUAGUUUUGAUUGAUACUUGGAAAAGAACCAACAAAACCCUACACGAAACAAACAAACAAAAAAUUAUACUAUAUGGCAACGCACUGAGAGAAGCCAGGUGGAAACUGGUUAGGUCACAGGAUCAGAGCCGCUUCAAGAGGGGCACAUCGCAGCUUACAUGUCCCCUCCUCAGAGAUGUCUUUGCUGUCUAAAGUGGCUACCCAGCCACAGUGGCUCACGUCUGUAAUCCCAGCAUUUUGGGAGGCUGAGGCAGGAGGAUCCCUUGAGCCCAGGAGUUUGAGACCAGCCUGGGCAAUAUAGCGAGACUCCAUCUCUACUAAAAAAAAAAAAGAAAAAAAUUAGCUGGGCGUGGUGGCCUGAACCUUUAGUCCCAGCUACUCAGGAGGCUAAAGAGAGAGGAUCGCUUGAACCCAGGAGGUCAAGACUGCAGUGAUCUGUGAUCACGCCACUGCACUCCAGCCUGAGCAACAACAGAGUGAGACCUUGUCUCAAAAAAAAAAUUAAAUAAUAAAUAAAUUAAAAAGUGGCUACUCUCGGCAAUUCACCUUCCAUCACAUUUUUCAGUUUUCUUUUCUUCUUUUUUUUCCUUUGAGACAGAGUCUCUCUCUGUCACCCAGGCUGGAGGACAGCAGCACAAUCCCAGCUCACCACAACCUCGGCCUCCUGGGUUCAAGCAGUUCUUGUGCCUCCGCCUCC
rnacentral:lncRNA from 1 species